CAGGCCCGGAUUUAAGGGGGGGCAAAGGGGGCAAGUGCCCCGAGCCCCCCGAUGAAGGGGGCCCCCCAAAAAUCCGAAAUACAAUUUAUAUUUUUCAACGAAACCAUAUGAAAUCCACGUGAAUGAGCGUUCAUAUUUUAUACAAAGCCCCUAUAGCCACAGCUGUUAACGUGUGGAUAUUCAGCAUGACCAUACUAAGGGUGACGCGUUCAAUUCCCGGUCGUUCCAAGAACUUUUCGUAAAGGAAAAUCCUUGACUUCCUUAGGAAAAGAGUGUCUUCGUGUCUGCCACACGGUAUGCACAUACGAAAUGGUCAUUGACAAAGGAAACUCUUUGUUAAUAACAGUUCCA